ACAAACCCGGCCACCCCCACGCCUCCCACAUCUCCCUCGUGCCCAUUUUCUUCGUCUCCCUCCCUCCCCACCACCGCACCAACUCCCUCGAAUCCCCCUGCCACUGCACCACCUACGCCUCGCCGCUGUAGCCCACCUCCCCGGCGCCGUCCCACUCUGCUCUCCCCCAUGACCCCCACCUUCCUCCCGGUCCAUCCUCGACCUCCACUUGUUUCUGCCGUCCGGGGGUCGCGCCGCCGUCCGUGGAUCUUCGCCGCCCCGCCCAGCCACCUCCAAUCCCGAGCGCAACUAGAGCCACCACCGUCCACGCGGACCCGCGCAUCGCCGCCCGGUUCAUCAUCCCGAGGUGACCAGGCAGUCCAACCGCCGCAGCCCUAUCGGGUCCGGCGAGAUCCGGCUGCCCCUGCACCUCCCUCCUGCUAAGCGCCGGUGGAAGGCCCUCCUUCUCCAAGCACGUGGCUCGUGACCAGUGGAUCCAGUGGGUGACGGCGAUGACCAUUGGGUCCGCUGCAACCGGCCUCCUUCCCCCGACGUGGAUCCGGCGGGCACGACCCCAACCACUUCUCUCUGCCGUGGAUCUGACAUCGUUGGGUUUUCUUCACCAUCGUGGGGGAGGAGGGUGCUCCACCUCAUGCCCUACUCCACCUCAUGACAGGCAGGCGCAACCAGAAGGCUUUUUUUGCUGUUCACUGUUCCCUCAUUGACCACCGGCGUUUAUGCAGUCGAAGAUGGGGACCUCGCCUCUCGUUCGGGUGAUGUGCAUCUUCUGCCCACACCCCUUUCUUACAGUUCGCAUCCUCCUUGUGUGCGGUCUGGAGAACACGUCCAUGCAGCUCAUAGUCAUCUUGCAUUUGAUUUGACACACCAGAAACAAGUUUCCUCCCAUGUCAAAAUAGAAUUUUGCUGAUCAGUUGGAUAGUGAUAACAUGCAGUCCGCUCGGCCUGCUGGCGCUGGCUGAGGCGGCAAUGCAUGCCGGAGCGCGUGCGGUGGGUGACUAGGAGCUCCCUGGCGAGCGUCUGUUCCCCUACGAGAAGUUCGCCGGCGAUUGUCUUACAUUACGCAUGGCUCGUGCGUGCAGUCCAAUGUUGGUACGGCAGGUAUUGCAGUGCGAAGGAGUGCGGCGUGUAGCUCGCCCGGGCAUGCGAGCCAUGACGCUCACCUGCAGGAUGCAGCUCUCUCCUCCACUCCUUGCUGUUCGCCACAGGGUGGUCGGCGGCAUCCUUUUUUUAGUAUUCAAAGCUAAUCAUGCAGUACACUAGCUAUCUGUAAAAACAGUACCUCAUUAUAAUUUGUUAUUCAGACACGCAGUCCACUCACUAUUUCUCUUCGGUUCAUUUUUUGUUGUUUUCUUAGGAUGGGGAACAUACAAAAGUGGACGGCGUCCAGGGAUGUAAUUCUCUACCUGUGGCACGUUCAGCUGGGUGCUGCCAGUGAAAAUGAUAUUGUUUUGUAUUAGAGUAUGUGUGUGUGUUGAGCAGGUUACUUUUUUUGUUGCAGUCCAAGCGCUCGACGCGAGCAGUGGCGCGGUUGUGGACGCGCAAUUCGUCAGGGGCUACAGAAGAAAAGAAAUCAUUGUUUACUUUGUCGUUAAAUGCGUAAGAAAAAAUAAAAAAUCAUAGCAGUCAACAAACUUGGAACUACCCAACAGUGGAGUAGUCCAGCGGCAUGUGUGUGUGUGUGUUUGAGAUUUGGUUUUGUUUGCAGUUCAGUCAGCUUUUACUUUAAAAAAUGUAUUCCUUGUGUUGUAGUGUAGCCGUCGCUCGUUUGUAUCUCGUGUGCAGUUCGUUGGUGAUCCCGUGUGUGCCUAUCAGAAGUUCGUUUCUGCUGUGAGGGCGGUUUCACCUAUAUCUUCGUGAGGUGUUCUUGUUGUGUGUGUAUGUGAUUCCCUUCUAAUAAAUAAAUAAAAACUUUGGACA